rnacentral:rRNA from 1 species
AGAACGAACGCUGGCGGCAUGCCUAAUACAUGCAAGUCGAACGAACACUUCGGUGUUAGUGGCGCACGGGUGCGUAACGCGUGGGAAUCUGCCCUUGGGUUCGGAAUAACAGUUGGAAACGACUGCUAAUACCGGAUGAUAUCGAAAGAUCAAAGAUUUAUCGCCCAGGGAUGAGCCCGCGUAGGAUUAGCUAGUUGGUGAGGUAAAGGCUCACCAAGGCGACGAUCCUUAGCUGGUCUGAGAGGAUGAUCAGCCACACUGGGACUGAGACACGGCCCAGACUCCUACGGAGGCAGCAGUGGGAAUAUUGGACAAUGGGACGAAAGCCGUGAUCCGAGCAAUCGCCGCGUGAGUGAUGAAGGCCGUUAGGGUAGUAAGCUCGUUUACCGGAUGAUAAUGACAGUACCGGAGAAGUAGCGUACCGACUAACC